CCUACGGGAGGCAGCAGUGGGGAAUAUUGGACAAUGGGCGCAAGCCUGAUCCAGCCAUGCCGCGUGAGUGAUGAAGGCCUUAGGGUUGUAAAGCUCUUUCGCCGGUGAAGAUAAUGACGGUAACCGGAGAAGAAGCCCCGGCUAACUUCGUGCCAGCAGCCGCGGUAAUACGAAG
rnacentral:rRNA from 1 species